rnacentral:ncRNA from 2 species
AAGUUAUCACGAAAGGCGGAGGGAAAAGACCCAAUGAAACCUUAGCAACCUCUCGUCCUUACGAGAAAGGUGCUACAUUCUACCACGCAUCGCGGGGAUAGAUAACAC